rnacentral:rRNA from 2 species
CGAGCGGCGGACGGGUGAGUAAUGCAUAGGAAUCUGCCCGAUAGUGGGGGAUAACGUGGGGAAACUCACGCUAAUACCGCAUACGUCCUACGGGAGAAAGCAGGGGAUCUUCGGACCUUGCGCUAUCGGAUGAGCCUAUGUCGGAUUAGCUAGUUGGUGAGGUAACGGCUCACCAAGGCGACGAUCCGUAGCUGGUCUGAGAGGAUGAUCAGCCACACUGGGACUGAGACACGGCCCAGACUCCUACGGGAGGCAGCAGUGGGGAAUAUUGGACAAUGGGGGAAACCCUGAUCCAGCCAUGCCGCGUGUGUGAAGAAGGCCUUCGGGUUGUAAAGCACUUUCAGCGAGGAAGAAGGCCUGAGGGCUAAUACCCUUCAGGAAGGACAUCACUCGCAGAAGAAGCACCGGCUAACUCCGUGCCAGCAGCCGCGGUAAUACGGAGGGUGCGAGCGUUAAUCGGAAUUACUGGGCGUAAAGCGCGCGUAGGUGGCUUGAUAAGCCGGUUGUGAAAGCCCCGGGCUCAACCUGGGAACGGCAUCCGGAACUGUCAGGCUAGAGUGCAGGAGAGGAAGGUAGAAUUCCCGGUGUAGCGGUGAAAUGCGUAGAGAUCGGGAGGAAUACCAGUGGCGAAGGCGGCCUUCUGGACUGACACUGACACUGAGGUGCGAAAGCGUGGGUAGCAAACAGGAUUAGAUACCCUGGUAGUCCACGCCGUAAACGAUGUCGACUAGCCGUUGGGUUCCUUGAGAACUUUGUGGCGCAGUUAACGCGAUAAGUCGACCGCCU